AGAUGGGGUCUGAUCCAGAUCCUGUUGUGAUCAAUGGAAGUCCUUUCAUUGGCUUCAGUAGGCUUUGGCUCAGACCUGUAGUCU
rnacentral:pre_miRNA from 2 species